rnacentral:rRNA from 1 species
GAUCCUGGCUCAGAUUGAACGCUGGCGGCAUGCUUUACACAUGCAAGUCGGACGGCAGCGGGGUAGUGCUUGCAUUACUGCCGGCGAGUGGCGAACGGGUGAGUAUAAUAUUGGAACGUACCGAGUAAUGGGGGAUAACUAUCCGAAAGGAUGGCUAAUACCGCAUACGUCCUGAGGGAGAAAGCGGGGGACAGGCAACUGCCUUGCGUUAUUUGAGCGGCCAAUAUCGGAUUAG